ensembl:misc_RNA Metazoa_SRP Metazoan signal recognition particle RNA
GCCGGGUGCGGUGGCGCGUACCUGUAAUCCAAGCUACUGGGAGGCUGAGACUGGCGGAUCGUUUGAGCUCAGGGGUUCUGGGCUGCAGUGGGCUAUGCCGAUCGGGUGUCCGCACUAAGUUCGGUAUCGAUAUGGUGCUCCUGAGGGAGCUCGGGACCACCAGGUUGCCUAAGGAGGGGUGAACCGGCCCAGGUCGGGAACGGAGCAGGUCAAAGCCCCCGUGCCGAUCAGUAGUGGGAUCUCGCCUGUGAAUAGACACUGCCGUGCAGCCUGAGUAAUACAGCGGGACUCAGUCUUUU